GGGCCCGCACAAGCGGUGGAGCAUGUGGUUUAAUUCGAUGAUACGCGAGGAACCUUACCAGGGUUUAAAUGCAGAACGACAGGGGUGGAAACACCCCCCUUCUUCGGACGGACUGCAAGGUGCUGCAUGGUUGUCGUCAGCUCGUGCUGUGAAGUGUCGGGUUAAGUCCCAUAACGAGCGCAACCCCCCAUUUCUAGUUGCCAGCGGUUCGGCCGGGGACUCUAGAGAAACUGCCAGCGUAAGCUGUGAGGAAGGUGGGGAUGACGUCAAAUCAUCACGGCCCUUACAUCCUGGGCCACACACGUGCUACAAUGGUGGGGACAACAGGUUGCCAACCCGCGAGGGUGAGCCAAAUCCCAAAAACCCCAUCUCAGUUCGGAUCGGAGUCUGCAACUCGACUCCAUG
rnacentral:rRNA from 1 species